rnacentral:rRNA from 1 species
UGGGGAAUAUUGGGCAAUGGGCGCAAGCCUGACCCAGCAACGCCGCGUGAAGGAAGAAGGCUUUCGGGUUGUAAACUUUCUUUUCUCAGGGACGAACAGAUGACGGUACCUGAGGAAUAAGCCACGGCUAACUACGUGCC